GAUGAACGCUGGCGGCGUGCCUAAUACAUGCAAGUCGAGCGAACGGACGAGAAGCUUGCUUUUCUGAUGUUAGCGGCGGACGGGUGAGUAACACGUGGAUAACCUACCUAUAAGACUGGGAUAACUUCGGGAAACCGGAGCUAAUACCGGAUAAUAUUUUGAACCGCAUGGUUCAAAAGUGAAAGACGGUCUUGCUGUCAUUUAUAGAUGGAUCCGCGCUGCAUUAGCUAGUUGGUAAGGUAACGGCUUACCAAGGCAACGAUGCAUAGCCGACCUGAGAGGGUGAUCGGCCACACUGGAACUGAGACACGGUCCAGACUCCUACGGGAGGCAGCAGUAGGGAAUCUUCCGCAAUGGGCGAAAGCCUGACGGAGCAACGCCGCGUGAGUGAUGAAGGUCUUCGGAUCGUAAAACUCUGUUAUUAGGGAAGAACAUAUGUGUAAGUAACUGUGCACAUCUUGACGGUACCUAAUCAGAAAGCCACGGCUAACUACGUG
rnacentral:rRNA from 1 species